rnacentral:rRNA from 1 species
UACGUAGGGCGCAAGCGUUGUCCGGAAUUAUUGGGCGUAAAGAGCUCGUAGGCGGCCUGUUGCGUCCGCUGUGAAAUCCCGGGGCUCAACCCCGGGCCUGCAGUGGAUACGGGCUGGCUAGAGGCAGGCAGGGGAGAACGGAAUUCCUGGUGUAGCGGUGAAAUGCGCAGAUAUCAGGAGGAACACCGGUGGCGAAGGCGGGUCUCUGGGCAAUAACUGACGCUGAGGAGCGAAAGCGUGGGGAGCGAACAGG